rnacentral:hammerhead_ribozyme from 1 species
AUCCGGAUGACGAAUCCCAAAUAGGACGAAAUGCGCAUCCUAGAU